CCGCAGAACUGUAUUCCCGCGGGGGUUCGAUGAGGUGCGCGAUCCAGUUGAGUUACUCUGAGGCGCGAGAUCCCGCGAGAGCAGGAGCUUGACCAUUUUUCCUAAGGCGGGAGCGGAGCCCUGGGGCUUAGCUGGCGGAGAAAGGUGGCUGCAGUUCCCAAGAGAGCAGAGUGAAGACACCUGGAAAGAAGUUGUCAUCACUAAGAAUGUCUUCUGGAAGACUGCUUGUUUGCGAUCUCCAGCAACAUGGUUGACAGAGGGCCCCGGUUCUGCUCACAUGGACCUCCUUCCCUGACUUCUUGCUGAGUCUGCCUUUCACAGUCUGCCCCCAGCUUGUGACUGACCAUGACAGUGACCCUAAGGCAGACCUGUUUCUGGGAAACACAGGACCUCUCCUGCAGGUGACUUUGGCUCAAGGAUCUCUCAACAGCCUUACCAAAUCUUCCCUACCAGCAGUCUAGAACACAUCCGUGCACUUCAAUCUGGGGUCCUUUGGGUGUCUCCCAGCCUUUCUUUGACCCUCCCCAUUUUCUCUCACAUGGACAAUUUUCCUAAUAAAAUUUUUGCAGGUGUAACUCCAUCUUUGCAUCUGCUUCUCAGAGGACCCAGACUAACACAUUUUGUUAGGGAGUAAUAGGGCUAUAAAGAAAAAUAAAAGCACAGUUAGGUGUUGUAAGUGUGCGCUCUUAAGUAGGGGAGGUCAAGUAAGGUCUCAGGCAAAGGUGGCCUUUGAACCUCAUACAUUUGUGGGAACUCUAAUUUCCAGGGCAAAAUAAAUUGCUUGAGAUUUAUAGCACUGAUUUGUGGUAGAUCAGAUAGCUGACACUUUUAAAUACAACUGCUUUUAUAUGCAGAUUGUAUGUUAGUGGUGAAAAAGAAAAUGUAACGAGAGUGCCUAUUUGGGUGACAAUUCAUGUCAGACAAUUGUGUAUAUGUAGAAAAAAACUACUUCAAAGGGGUGAGGAAAAGGCUUCAGAAACCAUAGAAUAACACAGUUACUUCCUCUCAGCCUGCUUCAUUCUGGCAUUCCUUUUAUCCCCCUGUUCUUUUAGAUUUAUUUUGAUAGUGCUGCAGCAUCUAUACCAAUUCUUCAAUCAGCAGUUUUAAAAUAGGGUAUGAUAUUGAAUUUAUCUUUUUUCCUUCUGACCUUUUCCAGUUCUGUUUCCUGCAACAUCUCCAUCUCCUAUACUAUUUAAGUUGUCACUGAAAUAUGUUUCAAAAUAUUACACAAUACAGAAUAAUAAGUACAUUCUUUUGGGAUCUGAACUGUAACCUCUUAGAAAUAGCUUUUUUUCCUCCUCUUUGCUCCUACAUACCAAAUCUUCCUGUUGAAAUCACAUUAUAUUGAGAAGCCAGGGAAAGUUUAUAUCCUGGGUUGAAAUCUAGUUCUUUUAUUAAAGGAAU